GAUUUUAAAUAUCUUCGAGCAAUUUCUCCAGGAUCCAUUACAAGCUCACCCUUCCCAAAUACCCUUGUAUUUGGGGCAACAUAAGCAGUCCGGAACUUAAUGAACACAUGCAAUAGAUAGAAAAAAUCCGCUAUAGUUCGGAAAAUGGUGACAACAAUUCGCAAAUUCAAAUCUGUUUUCACACAACUCGACUCUUUCGUCCCUUGUAUGAUGGGCAAAAAGAAAUACAAUGGAUCAACAAACAGUGCCAGCAAGCAUGAUAUAAUAAAAAUUCUAUUCCACUGGAUUACAAGGUCACUCCCCGGAUCAAGUAUUCGCUUCCUCCAGGACUCAUGGUCCUCGGGAUACACCUUCUUCGGCCUCCCAAACUUAAGAGUAUCAGCGACUUUAUAUUUUCCAUCAGAGUUCAAUAAUGGAGGUGAGAAUUUUUUCUCUACGUUCGAACUGUCUGCUAUUCCUCCCAAAAAACUACCUUGUUGCUUUUCACCAGAGUAGAACCUUACAAACCUCUCCUUCUUCAGCUCCAUUCCAAGAAGGGUAACCAAAAAAAU
rnacentral:misc_RNA from 1 species